rnacentral:misc_RNA from 1 species
CAGAUGUGUAUAAGAGACAGGUGAGUCAUCGAAUCUUUGAACGCACAUUGCGCCUCCUGUUACAGGGAGGCAUGCCUGUCUGAGCGUCAUUUAAACCCAAUGCCGACGGCAUACUUUGCCAUCGGCGUGUUGGGCCCUCGUCGGACAUCGUGUCGACGUGGCCUUGAAUCCAUUGGUCGAGUUGAGCGGACGAGAUCCUCUGGGACAGAGACCGUUCAUGAGACCCUAAAGACAUCUGAAUUUUGACCUCAGAUCAGGUAGGAACACCGCCUGAACUUAAGCAUAUCAAUAAGCGGAGGA